CGUGUUAGCUCUUAUUACUGUCGUUCUUACUUCUUGCUGAGUUAAUACUGUCUUCCGUGCAGGGAGGUCCUAAGGAUCCCGGGUACUAGGAAGGAUAAAACACCUGGUGGCAGGUGGGCACACAUUAGGGGCUCACUGAAUGAGAGUUCUUACUGUUCUAUCAUCCUUGUACCCAGCUACUGAAGCUCAUCUGUCACCUGUAAUCUGAGCAUUUGGACAAGUAGACCUAGAGCAGUUGCUAAGAUCAUGGACUUUGGAGCCAGACCUGCUAUGUUCAAAUCCCCUUCUACUCUUUAUGAUCAAUAUAUGGUCUUACUAGGCACGAAUAGUCUGCAGCUCACGACACGUACAACCCCAAGGUGAAUUCAGCAACAUCGGAACUGGUCUACAUCCUAUUCAAGGAGACCUGUCCACCAGUCACACACUUGGAUGUCAUGGCGAUGCCGGAUCGGUAUAAAAGUUUCUAAGUGCUUACUCCCAAUUUCUGCACUUAACCUGAUUGCAGACAGGGGACAACGAUUCACAGACCAGCUCUAAUAGUGCCUUCUGUGCAAUCUUGGUUUUGUAAAAUAACAUACGUCUCCGUAAGAAUUCUUUAUUGUACCCCAGGCACAAACAGAUGCUGUAACGCUGUCGGCAAUGAAUGAUUUCCAGAGUCUGUCUAUGCAUGAAAGGUGGUCUGGAGAGAUGAGCCCCGGGUUAGCAGAGUAACACCAAGGGGCUUUGAGUCCUUAGCUGAUGUCAUGGCUUAAAGGCGUUCUACUUGUAGAUUACUUUCCUUUCGGAAUUAAUUUUUGUUUGUAUUUUUCACAUUACAAAUGACUACUUUCCCAGUCUAUACUGGAGUCAAAGAGUAGUUUCUAGUUCUGGUUGAGCCAAUAAAUUAUUUCUAAAAGUACAAUGAAAUUAAGAUAAUUUAGACCAUUUCCUGGCUGUAAAAUGCAAUGAGUUCAAGUUCUCUUUUCCUGUAAAUACAAAAAUAAAAUGUAUAAAUUA